rnacentral:rRNA from 1 species
AGAGUUUGAUCAUGGCUCAGGAUGAACGCUAGCUACAGGCUUAACACAUGCAAGUCGAGGGGUAGCAGGGUAGCAAUACCGCUGACGACCGGCGCACGGGUGAGUAACACGUAUCCAACCUUCCCAUAACUCAGGGAUAGCCUUUCGAAAGAAAGAUUAAUACCUGAUAGUACUUUUUCAAGGCAUCUUGAGAAAGUUAAAGAUUUAUUGGUUAUGGAUGGGGAUGCGUUCCAUUAGAUAGUUGGUGAGGUAACGGCUCACCAAGUCUUCGAUGGAUAGGGGUUCUGAGAGGAAGGUCCCCCACAUUGGUACUGAGACGCGGACCAAACUCCUACGGGAGGCAGCAGUGAGGAAUAUUGGUCAAUGGGCGAGAGCCUGAACCAGCCAAGUAGCGUGAAGGAUGAAGGUCCUAUGGAUUGUAAACUUCUUUUAUAGUAGAAUAAAGUGAUCCACGUGUGGAUUUUUGUAUGUAUACUAUGAAUAAGGAUCGGCUAACUCCGUGCCAGCCGCAGC